rnacentral:rRNA from 11 species
UAUUCAAGUGAGAACCUUGAAGACUGAAGUGGAGAAGGGUUCCAUGCGAACAUUGAUUGGACGUGGGUUAGUCGAUCCUAAGCGCUUGGGAAACUCUUUCAAACGUAGUUUUCGGACUGCGGAGCGCGAAAGGGAAUCGGGUUAACAUUCCCGAACCGGGAGGCGGCGACUCAGCGGCGACGCAAAUGAACUCGGGAACGCCGGCGAGAGCCCUGGGCAGAGUUGUCUUUUCUGUUUCACGCGCCCAAGGCCCUGGAAUCUGAUUGGCAGGAGAUAGGGUCCGACGGCCGGGAGAGCACCGCACGUCUGUGGUGUCCGGUGCGCUUUCGACGGUCCUUGAAA